UACGUAGGGCGCAAGCGUUGUCCGGAAUUAUUGGGCGUAAAGAGCUCGUAGGCGGCCUGUUGCGUCCGCUGUGAAAUCCCGGGGCUCAACCCCGGGCCUGCAGUGGAUACGGGCUGGCUAGAGGCAGGCAGGGGAGAACGGAAUUCCUGGUGUAGCGGUGAAAUGCGCAGAUAUCAGGAGGAACACCGGUGGCGAAGGCGGUUCUCUGGGCCUGUACUGACGCUGGAGGAGCGAAAAGCGUGGGGGAGCGAACAGG
rnacentral:rRNA from 1 species